UCCACAGAGCAAGAGCUAUUCACUGAAAUUGUUCAGCAAAUAAUGGUAAAGUUUCCCCUUAAUUUAGCAUUUGCUGGUUUUCUUUGCACGGAUAUGGCCAAUGGCUGUCCCUGUGAGUCAGCAAGCCUUGUAAGGACAUGUGACUUGUUCAUGUGACUCUGGACUCCAUCUUGUGGCAGUGAUUUUCCACAAACUGUGUUGUGAGCUUUGUUUGGGACAGUCAAAUUCCAAGGCAUGGUAGAGGGUAUCAAAGACCCUUGAAAUAUCUCCAUGUUGCCUCUUUCCUGCUCUGAUUCUCUGUACAAUGGAUUUACAACUAAAAGGAGCAUAUUGACUAUAAACCCAGGAUCUUCCAAUCUUUUUGAAGGUACCAGAGACUUUACAAAUGUCACUGCUACAAACCUGAUAUAAGAACAUGACAAUCAUUGGUGAUUCACAUCUGGAAUCGGAGAAGAGGCAUGACCUGGAGCAGGCACCUUCUUUUAUUUAGGGUGUCAACGGCAGAAGAUUCUGGAGUGGGGAGGAAGAUCCCCUACAUUCAGGAGCCCGUCACAGUCUGGCCCAGGAUGCUGAGACGUUAACCAUUUGCAGGCUGCAGAGCACACGCGCACCUAUCCUCUUAAGUAGCCAUUUGGCUGGCGGUCUGGAAAUGGCCAGUGUUAACAACAUGCCGUGUUGGAUUCAGCAGAGCCAUGCAGCAUCUCUUCUCGUAGCUGCUCAUGACUUAUUGUCUGCAGGUGUAGUUCUAGGCACUGCGGCAGUGUGCAAAAUCUCUUUCUAGUUAUGGGAAAAACAUGUGUGCCGUUGUCCUGCCUGUCGGGGCUCAACUCCACUGGAGUGUCGUCUGGUGUGGAUGAAACAACCUACAUCUUAAUCCCACUUGGACCAGUGGCCACGAACCUCGGGCCAAGCCAAACCCUGCUUGGCACAGGAUGCGCUGUGGGCCCAAAGGAUCGAGCUGGUAGUUUCACAUCCAGUGCAGGCGCUGUUGCAGCCUGGCGCACACAGGAGCCGAUGAAGACCAGCUCUGAGACGUGAGGGGGAGCGCAGUCUUUGUUGUUUAGGUGGAAGAUGGGGACUUAGAAGGCCUGUGUUCAUGUCCCAAGUCUACCGCGCACUCUGUGCGUGACUUUGGACUUCAUCUCUCUGGGCCUCAGUUCUCCAUCUGUAAAACAGAGAGGAGACGCCGUGUCUGCUUUAGAGUGUAAGCAUUUUAGGGUUGUUUGUACAGCACAGUGGAGCCCACAUUUUAAUUGGACCUCCAGGCCCAUCUUCAGUAAUGACUAACACCACAACCUGAUCACUCAGCUUCAGGGUGGGGACGGCUUUGCCUUUGCAGGACUGCUCCAUUCUCCUCCACAAACGGAUUAUCCUGAACUGCAAUUAUAAAUGGGUAUCGCUCUUCAAUGCCGAAAGCAUUAAUAGCUUAAAAAGAGAAGAAUCUGUAUGUCACCAAGGCCUCGAUUGCUUGACUAUCUUAAUUACAUCUCCCAGAGACAGGAUCCUUUGUAUCACUUACACCAUUUUAGUUAGUUUGUAAAGCAUCUUAGAAAAUGUCUGUCGGCAAAAGGCCAUAUCUCCUCCUCUUCUGCUUGCUAAUUGCAGUCGUUUUACCUGAGGAACGUCGUUAAGCGUCUCUCUCAAAUGUUUAUCCUCGCAAGUGGCAAUCAGAAAUGCUAUUGGUUUGGUCACCACACAGUAAACUGUAUUAAUUGUUGAGAGAUUUGCAAUGUUGCUGUUUUAGCAAGAUUAUCUAUAAAAUUACACACGCACAAGUAAGGUGGCCGAGUCAAGCACUCCAAAGUUAGGAAAUGGAAGAAUUAAGGUGGUCCUUGCAACUUUAAUUCAACCCCCAAGGGUGUAUGCAUUGUGAUACCAUCUUUAAUUAGAUGAUGACCUACACUCUUUCCCACAGGACCCCUGCUGCAUUCAGUGCCUAAGAUGGCUGGUGUUCACUGAAUAAGCAGCUAGCUAUUCAAUAGUUUGUUCAGUCAGUACUGGGUUUACAUUAGCACCUCCUGCUCGCUCCUCUCC